UACGGAGGAUGCAAGCGUUAUCCGGAUUCAUUGGGUUUAAAGGGUGCGCAGGCGGGGGAAUAAGUCAGUGGUGAAAAGCUGCCGCUCAACGGUAGUCUUGCCAAUGAUACUGUUUUUCUUGAGUAUGGUUAAGGUAGGUGGAAUGUGCAGUGUAGCGGUGGAAUGCGUAGAGAUCGGGAAGGACACCGGUGGCGAAGGCGGCCAACUGGGCUGGAUCUGACGCUGAGGCGCGAAAGCGUGGGGAGCAAACAGGAUUAGAUACCCGGGUAGU
rnacentral:rRNA from 1 species